UACGUAGGGUGCGAGCGUUAAUCGGAAUUACUGGGCGUAAAGUGUGCGCAGGCGGCCGAGCAAGUCGAGUGUGAAAGCCCCGAGCUUAACUUGGGAACUGCGCUCGAAACUACUUGGCUAGAGUGUGGCAGAGGGAGGUGGAAUUCCACGUGUAGCGGUGAAAUGCGUAGAGAUGUGGAGGAACACCGAUGGCGAAGGCAGCCUCCUGGGCCAACACUGACGCUGAGGCGCGAAAGCUAGGGGAGCAAACAGG
rnacentral:rRNA from 1 species